CUCUCCUGCCCCUUUGCUACAGCCUCUGAGAGCUGUCAGGACAGCAUAUGAGAGACUAAGUACAAGUAGGAGUCAAGACCUGCCACAAGAGUGGCUGAUGUUUAUUGAAUGAACUGUCUGGUAAAGGUGACCAGAAAGUCUGAUGCAUUUAAGUGUAAAUCUUACAGAAUGGAUCAUCCUCAGAAGGAUACUACAUGCCUUCAGUUAUCUCCAAGAUCACCACAGACCUCAAGCAAAUACUCCGAAAGGCACCAGGAAUUCACUAGCAUGAAUGAAAGCUGUUCUGCUGAAUCCUGCAAUCCACUGCAGAGCAAGUUGCCACAGAACUAAACCCAAAAUGCUUUGGCAGGGCUGAUCACACAGCCAUCUGCCACAUACCACCAAGGCUCUGCAGCCUUCACCUCCUCCACCUCAGGCAUCACUCAGAAAGAUAACACCUCAGCUGGAGAACUUGUUUCCAAUGUCAGCCUGUAACCAGCUUAUGCCUGAAGAAAAAGAAGCUGAUCAGCCAUUGUGGUUUUCAUCCUGGCAGUUGAAUAGCCUGCGUGAAUAUCAACAUUAUCAUAAAUCAUUCAGUUGCUGAAAGUCAUCUUACCAUCAGAAGAAGCUGAAUAGCAACCAUUUCUAAAUCCUUAUGUACACCCAUUUACAGCAGCUGAGCAGUGGGAGUAUAUAGACCUAUUUUUCAGCUAGCACGAUAAUCAAGCCAUUCCUCAUUUAAGAGUGAAUUCAUUUGCCUUGGUACGAGUCCCAAAUAACAGUUCCAGAAACUGAUAUGUAAUCUCCGACUAAAACCAAGAUUGAGCUGAGGCUACCAAACUCCUUUCUUCCUCAAAACACACCUAAAAUCCCCAGCCAGAUUCUGAUCUUGGUGCGAAUCUGAACAUACCGAAUUACAUUUGGAAGCCACUGCUUUAGACUGGUGUUUCUCAGUAGCCCCAGUGUAGCCAUAAAGAUCAGAAUCUGUCCUUAAUAUCUCUGCACACUGGUACUGUGCCGAACUAGCUCCAGACUAUUUAUAGUUUACACUAUAUAUACACACUGCAGCUUCCAAAAGCAUGCUUUAUCUUUUGGGAGGACAAUGCUUUGAGAAGUGUAAUAAAAGGCAAAGUUUUGUUAAAAAAAAAGAAAUCUGCUCAAACCCUUAACCUGGAAGAGUGGCCCCACGCUGCCAAUCAGAUAAUGAGCUUAAUUCUUACAUCACACUUUAUUUGUAGCUCACUGUGUAGUUAAUGGUUGCAGCUUAUCUAACAGGAGAAAUGUGAAACCAGAGUUUUAGAACAAUAGAAACAAGGCUGUCACCAGCAGGCUGCCAGUGAAUCAUGUCCCCACAGUCAAGUUCUCCCAGAAGGUCAUCUGUAACAGAAAUACUUCUCUGCUUGAAGCUGGCAAAAUGCUAAAAAGUGUUUCUCAGUUUUACCCUAAUAAACUAUUGAUCAGAUCAAUUACCAGAACAAGUUCACCUGGUAGCAUUUUUAAGUUCUGUUGAUUGCAAGACUUGAUAGUAAAGGUUACCAAGUGA